AGAUUUGAGGACAAUAUGGUUAUAACAUCUGUCACUCUGUUGAUUGCCAGGGUUGAUACCGUUGACCUGGCUGGUUAGGUGGAUCUCCUCUUCCUCCCUGCUCCAUUGCAUCCCUCCUAAAGCUGCAUGCUCAGUCAAAGAGAUGACCUUCCCUGAAUAGGGUAGGACCAGCCUUGGGCCAAGGGUAUACAAGUAGCUGUGCUCCUCUUCUAGAAUCUCCGAACGUUCUCUCAAGGUCACUUUGUAUAUGGGGCAGAGUAACACACCCAAGUAAGUGUGCUGUCUUCAAAAUCCAAAAAGGCCCAUUAAAUGGUGUGCUUCUUU
rnacentral:snRNA from 1 species